rnacentral:rRNA from 1 species
AUUGAACGCUGGCGGCAGGCCUAACACAUGCAAGUCGAGCGAGAGGCGGACGGGUGAGGACUGUAUGGGGACUGCCCGAAAGAGGGCGAUAAAUACGGGAAACGGUAGCUAAUACCGCAUACUAUCGGAUAACCCAUAUGGGAUUAGCUAGUAGGUGAGGUAAUGGCUCACCUAGGCGACGAUCCCUAGCUGGUCUGAGAGGGUGAUAAGCCACACUGGGACUGAGACACGGCCCAGACUCCUACGGAGGCAGCAGUGGGGAAUAUUGCACAAUGGGCGCAAGCCUGAUGCAGCCAUGCCGCGUGUAUGAAGAAGGCCCUAGGGUUGUAAAGUACUUUCAGUCGGGAGGCGUUACCGACAGAAGAAGCACCGGCUAACUCCGUGCCAGCAGCCGCGGUAAUAC